rnacentral:lncRNA from 1 species
AGAUUUUAACAUUUAUCGGUCGUCCAACUGUCUAUAUCAAUCUGCUCAGCUCUUAAUAAAAUUCCAUAUCACGGCUUUGUGACGUCAAAUACGGACCUGGCCUUAAUAACUUUGACCCGCACAUAUCAGCGACGUCAUAAUGUUUGAACCGACGUUGAUAAGUUUGACCCGAACUUAUAAAGUCAACUUCCGGUUGCUGGUAAAACUAAGACAAUACUUCCAAAAGACGCAAAUACAGUCCGAUAAAUCGAUUAUCAUGUUAUCGGCAUAUUAAUAUUGUAAAAUAUCAGCUGCUCGACAUAAUAUGAAGGCUUUUUGAUCUCGUUUGCUGCGCUUACUCGACAAAAAGCUUCAUAUUAUGUCUCGCAGCUGAUAUUUUACGAUAUCAACAUGCAGACAACCUGAUAAUCGGUACG